UUCGAGUGGCGGACGGGUGAGUAACGCGUGGGUAACCUGCCUUACACAGGGGGACAACACCUGGAAACAGGUGCUAAUACCGCAUAAGCGCACAGGGCCGCAUGGCCCGGUGUGAAAAACUCCGGUGGUGUAAGAUGGACCCGCGUCUGAUUAGCUUGUUGGCGGGGUAGGGGCCCACCAAGGCGACGAUCAGUAGCCGGCCUGAGAGGGUGGACGGCCACAUUGGGACUGAGACACGGCCCAAACUCCUACGGAAGGCAGCAG
rnacentral:rRNA from 1 species